GCAGCUUGCUGGACUGUAACUGACGCUGAGGCACGAAAGCGUGGGGAUCAAACAGGAUUAGAUACCCUGGUANNCCACGCCGUAAACGAUGAAUGCUAGCUGUUAGCGAUAUACUGUUAGCGGCACAGAGAAAUCGUUAAGCAUUCCACCUGGGGAGUACGCCGGCAACGGUGAAACUCAAAGGAAUUGACGGGGGCCCGCACAAGCGGAGGAACAUGUGGUUUAAUUCGAUGAUACGCGAGGAACCUUACCUGGGCUUAAAUUGCAGUGGAAUAACGUGGAAACAUGUUAGCCUUCGGGCCGCUGUGAAGGUGCUGCAUGGUUGUCGUCAGCUCGUGCCGUGAGGUGUCGGCUUAAGUGCCAUAACGAGCGCAACCCUCAUCGAUAGUUACUAACAGGUUAAGCUGAGGACUCUAUCGAGACUGCCGACGUAAGUCGUGAGGAAGGUGGGGAUGACGUCAAAUCAGCACGGCCCCUACGUCCAGGGCUACACACGUGUUACAAUGGGGGGUACAAAGGGCAGCUACCUGGCGACAGGAUGCUAAUCUCAAAAACCUCUCUCAGUUCGGAUUGGAGUCUGCAACCCGACUCCAUGAAGCUGGAUUCGCUAGUAAUCGCGCAUCAGCCACGGCGCGGUGAAUACGUUCCCGGGCCUUGUACACACCGCCCGUCAAGCCAUGGGAGCCGGGGGGACCUGAAGUAUGCAACCGUAAGGAGCGUCCUAGGGUAAAACUGGUGACUGGGGCU
rnacentral:rRNA from 1 species